rnacentral:pre_miRNA from 14 species
UUUUAGAGACCUCUCUACUCAGGUAAUGAAAGACCCCCGGAGUGGGGAGACCCUCACUCAAGUCUCGGGAUGACGCAACCCCCCAAGAACUCACACAAGACC